rnacentral:ncRNA from 1 species
AAGAUUCUUCGUUUCGGUAUUGGUAUCUAAUCGUCAUUUGGAUUUCUCCUAUCAGCCCCGGCUAGUUUCACCGGGGUUUUU